AUGGCCGAAGCCAAUGACCCCGCCACCUUCUCCGUCACCGCCGCAGCCGCCGAAACUGCGGCGCGGCCGACCAAAAACUCGAAGGCAGCCGCGACAGGUCAGGCUGACGACUCGCAGCUAGGGCCGGCCACGUCCUCCAACAGCCAAGGAGCCUCGACCACGGCCUUUCCUCCACCUCCGCCGCCGCCACCGCCGGCCGUGGAGGAAUAUUUGGCCACGCCGACGGUGACCGCCUCCAACAUGUUCGAUGGAAUGCCGCAAAGUUGUAGUCUUGAUGACGAAGCUUUUUUGCACGCGACAAAUGUGGCAAAUGAUGAUUUUGUGUCACACGAGUAUAUGUCACAAGAAUAUGAAACCCAAUAUGGUGAUGACAAUCUUAACAUGGACGAUGAGGGAUUUGUUGCGAAGGGAAGAAGUGGAAAUUAUACCAAUGCGGAGGAUGUGUUGAUAUGCACCGCAUGGAAGAAAGUCUCUCAAGAUGCAUCCAUUGGAAGCGACCAAACGGUUAACACCUAUUGGCAACGCAUCAAGGAUUACUUCGAUGAGCGCAACACAAGUGGUCACUUCCGUUCGAGCGACUCUAUGCCAACGUUGGUCCACUAUCAACGCCGAAUGCCAAAAAAAAUGAUUGCCCAAGGAUUGUUUCGAGAGCGGAACAUGAAAGAUGAGAAGAAGAAAAGGAAAGGAAAAGCUUUCACUUUUCAUCAUUGCUUCAAAGAGCUCAAGGAUGAGGAGAAGUGGAAAACUAGAGAAACUUUUGAUGCUUCAAAGAAGAAGAGUGUGGAGAAAAGGGCGGCGGCCGACGAGAGGUUGUCGGCCGCCGAGGAGAGGAAGGUGGAACUAGAGGAGAAAAAGUCCGCGGCCGAGGAGAUGAAGAUGGUCGAGGAGAAGGCACUCAAUGGCACCGCACCGCGUGGGUUCUCUCUCCUCUCCCUUGUCCCUCUCAACCCCACACCCCAACCAAUCUUUCCCACUCCGCCGCUCCACCCAAUCCCGCCGCCGAUGCCUCCUCCACCCCGAAACAACGGCGACAGGGACGCCGGUGCCCUCACCCGCCUUCCACCUCCCCUAGCUCAUCUUCUCGCCGAUCGAUUUGGAGGAGCCUCCUUUCGGGCGCCACCGUGGUCGGGCUGCGGCGACCACCAGAGAUCCGCCGCCGGCAGGAGCUCCCUCCUUCUCUACCACGAGGAACCGGAAGAGGAGGAUGAGUCCUCCUUUUACCCCUAG
rnacentral:rRNA from 1 species